rnacentral:rRNA from 1 species
UACGUAGGCAGCAAGCGUUGUUCGGAAUUACUGGGCGUAAAGGGUGCGUAGGCGGUUAUCUAAGUUUGGUGUGAGAUCUCCCGGCUUAACUGGGAGGGUGCGCUGAAGACUGGAUGACUUGAGUAUGGGAGAGGAAAGCGGAAUUCCUGGUGUAGCGAUGAAAUGCGUAGAGAUCAGGAGGAACACCUGCGGUGUAGACGGCUUUCUGGACCAAGACUGACGCUGAGGCACGAAAGCGUGGGUAGCAAACAGG